CUUAAGUCAUGAGAACCACAUGCGCUGACCAUGAGCUGAUCUGACCAAUCUGAAAUCAUGUUUGACACCUCAACAUGGCAUUCUCUUCUUUAGUGAGUUGACUGUUUGUGUCUCAUAACCAUCUGGAACAGUUACAAGAUCUGAGGGUGGACAGACACGUGGCAAAGAAACAAGGAAGAAAUCAAGAUUGGAUGUGAAGCAUGAAAAUAUCCUUUUAGGAUGCUGCGGAAAAGAGGAGAUGAAAGGAAAGGGGGAAGCGAAUAAAGGAGAGGAAGGGAUAAGAGAGGAAAAAAGUGAUAGAGCGAAGAAGAAGGCAGAGAAGGUCAGGAGAGGACAACCAGAAGAGUAUGGGAAUGAAAUAGGAAGGGAAGAAGGGGGAGACAAAGGGGGAAUAAUCACAUAAGACAAGUUGAGAGGUGAAGAGAAGAGUGAGAAGAGUGUAAAUGUUUGCUUUAUAUCAACAGCAGCUCUUAUCUAAUGCUCUGCAAAUACACAAACACUCACAUUUUCUCUCUUUAGUGUUAGAUAAUACAACUGAAUAAUCAGCAGGUAUCUGCCUCCUCUCACUGGCCUCUGGAUGAGAAUAAAACAAC